CAAAACUAACCUUAAUGUGGAAAGGCUAGUUUCACAGUUGCUGGAAUUCAUUGAAGGUAAUACCAACUUAAGGUACAAUUUUGAGUUGAAUGAUUCCCAUCUAUCUGAAUAUAUGGAUUGCCUCGACAAGAAUCUAAAUGAUGUACAGAUGUUCUUGGAAUUGGAUACUGAGUGGACGAAUAAGCGAUUUUUAGAGCAAGUGAAAAUCAUUCAAAAGAAAAUGAGAAUUUUGAGGUACUUAUAUGCCACGGAGAUAAGUAGUUACAUAGACCAUGAGAAGCUGGAAGGUCUGGAGACUCGAAUUCAGUUCAUGGCUGACAAUGUGGGACAGUUCUGCCUUGCUCUUUGGCUUAAUAAGGUUGAAGAUAAUGCAGAUGAGGAUAAAGAUGAUACAUAUUCAUAUGAGGAUGAAAAUGAUUUGGUGAGUAAACCUCCAUAUCUAUUAUGUCUGAUUAAGCUAGUGGAGCUUGAAAUGAAGAAGACUUUUCUUGGUGAAAUAAGGGCUUCUAAGUUUAGUCACUCAACAACUUUCAAAAAGCAGAAAUUGCCAAAAGAUUUUUCACAUCAGCUCCACAGUCUGCUGGUGUGUCUCAAGUGCAAGAAGCUUAAGAACUUUUCUGAUACUAUCUCUGUUCGAAAUAUUAAUGUGGCAAUAGAGUUCUUGUUGGUCUUUCUUGCUGAUGUGCCAAAUCAUGUUAUUAAUGGUAAGAGGUUGAAUGAGGUCUUGGAAGAGGUUGGAGCUCGUGCGGGCGAUGUUCUAUGUGUAAUUCAUAGCUCUAUGAUCAAAGAUGAUACUAGCAAGAUAAACCUUUGCUCUAUACAGAUAUUGGAGAAAACUGAAAAUCUAAAGGUACAAUUGGAGAGGUACUACAAAUCCUUAAUAUUCACUCCGUCUCAGUUUGCCACAGUUGGCGGAUUGAGCUUUCUGGAUUCUCUAUUAAGGAAAUUGAAUGAGAUGAUGAAAUCUGAAUUAGGUUUAGAUUUCAUGAUGAAGCCUCAUAUUGUUAUUUUAGAGAAAGAGUUCUCAUAUCUAACAUCUGUUUUCAGAGAUGUUGCAAAGGUGCAGCAUGAACAUGAAAUUCUUAAAGAUCUUCAGAGGCGUACUAUCAAUUUGGCAUACGAAGUUGAAGUUGCCAUUGACUCUAUUCUUGCUCAGUGUAAUGCUCUUUGGUAUCUUUUUUGCUCACUUCCUACAAUCUUAAAAGAGAUCAAGCAUAUUAGUGCGGAGGUUACCAAGAUGUGGUCGGAGAACCUUGCUCUUAAGCCCUGCUCUAUGGUAGAGCCAUAUAAACAUAUGUCAUCUCAACAUAGUAAUCUUAUGAAUGAUGAGGAGAUAGUUGGUUUUGAGAAUGACACGAAAAGAAUAAUUUGGUAUCUGACACAAGGGACAAAUGAGCUAGAUGUCAUCCCAAUUGUUGGCAUGGGGGGACAAGGUAAAACAACUUGUGCUAGAAAGUUGUACAAUAAUGACAUCAUUGUUUAUCAUUUUGAUGUUCAAGCAUGGUGCGUCAUUUCCCAAACAUAUAGCCGGAGAGAGCUAUUACAAGAGAUUUUCAAUCAAGUUACCGGUUCCAAGGACAAGGUAGAUGAGGUUGGCGAACUAGCUGACAAGCUGAGGAAAAGCUUAAUAGGAAAGAGAUAUCUCAUUGUCUUGGAUGAUAUGUGGGAUUUUAUGGCAUGGGAUGACUUAAGACUUUGUUUCCCUGAUGUUGUAAAUAGAAGCAGAAUUGUUGUAACAACUCGUCUUGAGAAAGUGGGUGAACAUGUCAAGUGCCAUACUGAUCUUUAUUUCCUUCCAUUCCUCACGCCCGAAGAGAGUAGGGAAUUGUUGCAGAAAAAAGUGUUUCAAAACGAAGCUUGCCCACCUGAACUAAACGAUGUGAGUCUAGAUGUUGCAAGACGGUGCAAAGGGUUGCCCCUAGUGGUUGUCUUGGUAGCUGGAAUAAUCAAAAAGAAGAAAAUGGAAAGAUCUUGGUGGCAUGAGGUUAAAAAAGCUCUAUUUUCCUAUCUUGACCAUGAGUCUGAAGACUAUAGUCGGGCAACUAUGCAGUUAAGUUAUGAAAACUUACCCGACUAUUUAAGACCUUGCCUUCUCUACAUGGGGAUGUUUCCAGAGGACGAAAGGAUCCCGGUGUCUAAAUUGAUAAGUUUAUGGAUAGCGGAAGGCUUCGUGCAGAACAUUGAAUCUGGGAGAUUAACGGAAGAGACAGCUGAAGGUUACUUGAUGGAUCUCAUUAGCAGUAACGUGGUAAUGGUUUCAAGGAGAAGAUAUAACGGUAAAGUCAAAUACUGCCAGGUUCAUGAUGUAGUGCUUCACUUUUGCUUGGAGAGGAGUAGAGAAGAAAAGUUUAUGUUGGCAGUGAGGGGGAACAUUCAACCUUCCGAUUUGAAGGAAAGUCGAGUUAGCUUCAGUUUCAGUAAUGAGCUUUCCAAGUUUGCAUCCAAAACACGGAAGCCUUUCCACCAACACUUGAGGUCACUGAUAACCACCAAUGGAGGAGAAUCUUUAUAUUGGAAUCCCUUCAGUCAGGUUAUUAAUUUGAUGAGGCUUCUUAAGGUCUUGGAUUUGAGUUCCCAUAAAUUGGGUCGUUUGUCGUUAGCAACGUUGAAACCACUAAUUCACCUCAAGUACGUCGCACUUUUCACAGACAAAUUCGAUUUUCAUGGAAAAUCACAUCUGCCCCAUCUAGAAACUUUAAUUCUCAAGUGUUUAAGGCGUACGCAGUUAUCAACGAAUUUUUGGAAAAUGAAAAAAUUAAGGCAUGUAAACUUUAUUAAAACUGGUUUUUGUUGGGAAAAUCAGAUCUUUGAAAAAUCCUCUAAGUUGGAGAAUUUGAGGAUAUUAAGGGGUGUUGAAUUUAGACUCGAUACUGAUUGCUUGAAUGUUUUAGUACAGAGGUGUCCUAAUCUUCAAGAACUUGAAAUCUUUUUUUUAUGUGAAUAUGGGAGAAAUAUUGAUGAAGAAAAGAUUUGUCUCAAAUUGGAGAGUCUUACCCAGCUUCAAUCACUUCGCCUUUUCUAUCCCUUGUCCGCUGUUGUACACUUGCCUUCAAAUAUAAAGAAAUUGGUACUAUGCGGGUCUUCGAUGGAAAGCACGAUUUUCUGCAUUGCAGGAUUACCAAGUCUAGAGUAUCUCCAAUUAAGGAAUCUGAAUUUUAUUGAAUCUGAAGAGUGGUGCCUUGGAGAUAUCACGUUCCACAAACUGAAGUUGUUGAAACUGAGCUACUUCAAUAUCUCAAGGUGGGAAGCCUCAGAGGAAUCUUUUCCUCAGCUUGAAACACUUGUUAUAAAAGUGUGUUAUUAUCUCGAGGAGAUCCCCCUUAGCUUUGCAGAUAUUCCAACGCUGAAACAGAUUAAAUUGAUGGGGUGCAGCAACAAUGAAUCUCUGGUGGCUUCAGCUUUGAGAAUUAAGAAAGAAGUUAACGAGAAUGAAGGAUGCGACCGUAUUGACCUCAUUGAAGCUACGGUGAUGUAUUAGAAUAAACUGAUGUAAGUAGAAACAAACUCCAAUGUGAUGUUUUAGUGUCUUAAUUUGCAUAAUGUGCAAACAAUAGGUUCAGUACAGGAUCUUUAAUGGAUGUUUCUGGAAGCUGUGAGUCAAGCACGUGCUUGUCACAAUAACAUGGUAUAGUUUUCAGUUUUUUCUUUUUCCCUCCCUCCUUAUAUUUGACAUUUGUUUUCUUGAUUUCCUUUGCUAUCACUGAAAUAUGAAAACUUUAUUUCGAGCAGAAAGUUUGAUUUUCUGAAUACUGAGUUGGAUUUUCUUGAGGUGUGCUUAGUAGACAACAUUAUGAAGAAAACUAUAACUCUGGUUUUUAUGUCUUUGUGUGAGAAUGUAGUAAUUUUACGUCGAUAAGGUAUCGUUGAAUUAACUUAACGAGGAGACAUAUUGUGCUCACUGUAAAUCAGAAGAAAGCAAAGGGGAAACGAUGAAAAAUUAUGUACCUUUAAAUAGUAGUUUCUCUUAAGAGGUUCAGUUGUUGAUUGAUCAACUGCUUCUUUUCUAGGCCUUGCUGCAACUUUGUAUGUUGUUAAACCAGAAAAAGUAUCAAGUGACAGAGGAUACAUUUAACCAAAAAUUUAAAAACACAUAUAGAUUGAUCAAAUCCAAAUUCAGUUAGGUAUAACAGAGAUUGUUUAAACAUCAUAUACUACUACUACAAUUACAUCUGAUUUCUAUUACGCAUUGCUAUCAUUAUUGUCAUCUCCAGUACCCUGUUUAUAAACAGCGUACAGGAUAAGCUGCACAAUGCCCAAAAUGAGGCCGACAAUAUGUGCACAGACCUUAACCCUACAUUCAAGAAGCAGAGAGGUUGUUUCCGAAAGUACCUCGGCAUAGGCCCAAAAUGAGGCCAACACCAGCUGAAAUUUGCAAUAAAUCAAGAAAAGUAAAUACGUUGAGAAUUAAAAAAGAAAGGCGCUUAAAAAGAGAGACUUUACGCUUACUUUUAGGGAAAAUGCAUAAGUACCCCCUCAACCUAUGACCGGAGUUCCAACUACAUACCUUUCUUUUUCGAGGACCCUAUUACCCCUGAACUAUUAUAAAGUGAAAUUAUUACCACCCUAAAUGCUGGCGUGACAAAGUGUGUGUUCACUCUCUCAAAGCCCAAAAAUUUACUUACUGGUCUUUUUCUUUUUCUUUUCUUUUUCUUAAUCUUUUGUCUUUUACCCUUUUUUUUCUUCUUCCCAAGAUGAUAGCCACCUUUAAAAGGCAUUGAGCUCCAUUUACAACACCAUUCCUUUGAAAAUUCAUUUUUUAAUUUUAGAUUGGUAUUUUUUCCUCAAACUUUUAUGGGCUUAUUCUUAUCUUUGCAUUAGCAAGAAAAUAAAUUUAAAUGUGAUUGUGUGUACACAUGUCAUCUUUUUAUUGGAUAUUACACUUAAUUAAUUAUGUCAGUAACUUAAAAAAAUAUUUUUUCCUUUCUCUUCGAAAAUAUACAAUACUUUUCUUAAAAAUUCGGCAGCAACGACGACCAAAGAAAUUAUCACUACGUGAAUAUUAUUUCUUUGGCCGAAAUCGAUAUCGGAGAAUUAAAAUUUUGGAUUUCAUUGUUGUCAUGUUGGUGGUGAUACUAAUAUUGUCCGUGGUGAUACUAAUAUUGUCACUUUUUGUCCUUUUGUUUUCUUGAGCCGAAAGUCUUUCGGAAACAGCCUCUCUACUCCUUCGGGGUAGGGUUAAGGCAUGCAUACACACUGCUCUCCUCAGACCCUAUUAGUAAGAUAUUACUGGGUUGUUGUUGUUGUAUUGUUGUCAUGUUGCUACUAGUCAUGAUAAAGAAUAGAAUAAUAGAUCAAAAUAAGGAACAUAAUGGGAGAGAAAAAAAAGAGUGACAAUAUAUAUAUAUGGCAGGCGAGUGUAUUUCACCUCCCAAGAAACAUCUAGUUAUGACAUUUCAAGGAGAUAUUUAUUCCUUUUUAGAAUAGUUUAGGAGGGUAAUAGAAUUCCCGUAAAGAAAAGAUGUGUAGUUGAAACUUCGGUCAUAGGUUAGGUUGAGAGGGUACUUAUGAAUUUUCCCUUACUUUGAUGAAUAGAUCUUUACCAAUGACGGCGUAUGUUAACCACAAACCACAAGAGAGAGCUACAAAGAAUGAGAGCCAAAAUGGCAUGAAUUCCACUUUUUGUCAUGAUGACAUGUGUGACCAAGGGCGGAUGCACGUUUAACGAAGCGGUGUCACGCGGCACCGCUUCGUCGAAUUUGUUUACUAAAUAUAUGUAUUAAUACUGUAAGAAAAUAGAUAAGUAGGAAAAAAUAACACCACUUAACACAAAUUGUUUCUUGGUGCGUUGGUUAUGUACUUGAUUUUGCUCUAAGAGGCUAGAGGUUUGAACCUCGUAUGGUUAAAAAUUAUGAAGUAGAAUUGAACUUAGGACCUUUUCUAACUUGAAACUCAAUAAAACCAAUAGACUAAGAUUACUUCUUGUCUAGAAGUAUGACAAUUAAUGUUAUUAUUCUCGUUUUUGUGUAAAUUUCGACACCGCUUAUAAACAUUCUUGCGUACGCUUGUGUAUACAUGUAUGAAUAGCAAACAGGUUAAGGAAAAUGAAAAGAAAUACUAAAAAAAGGAAUGAAGUGUUAAAUUAAAAACAUAGGCUUACUAUGAUUGAGAGGGGUGAUCCAUACAUAAGUAAGGAGACAACGGUGGUAGCAAUACCACAAAAAUUCUUUCUACUAUUUUUCCAUGAAGAGCAAGCAUGGAGAUAAGAGCUACUGCAAUACAAAUUGCAAUGUUUAGAAAGAAGAGUGCCGAGAUUUUCCUCCUCUCGUUAUUAGGUGCAAAUUUGAGGAAACUCAGCACAUAGACAAGAGCAAAAUUAAGCUGCUCCAAUCCCAUUCAUAGUCUACACUAGCGCAUUGUUUGAUGAUACUAGCGGCAUACCAUACCUAUGAUAAUUUAAUUAGUACACAAGUAUUAAAAAGACACUUUAAGAAGGAAAGAAAUUUGUCUCGGCAACAGAAAACUAAUUACCAUGUUGAUAAUAGACAGUUCAGCAUUGUAAUCAUGUAUGGACUACUCGAGAUAGUCGCUGGAGCACCCCCUCCAUUCACCUUUUGUUCCCAUAUGCAUCGACCUUUUCUAAAUCGACAUAUCUAGGUUCUCCCAACAUGUUCUCGUUCUUUCGAAAUGACAUUGCCAAAAGUCGAAUCAAAGGCUUUACAAGAGAGCUUCUUGUUGGAUAUUAGGUUUGGGUCGUGGGUCGCCCAUGUGGACUAACCCGACCCGUUUGAGAAGAGAUUAAACUUAAGGAGGUUACUAACGUCAUCGAUAUGUGGGCAUAUAGGGGUAUUUCACACUUGCUAUUUGAAAAGAAAAUAAAAUAUCUUAUUUAUUGUGGAAAGGAUUUUUGAAAAAAAUACAGUUUUCUAACUAUCUCAUAUUUUACGACGAUUUCGGUAAAGGAUUUGGGUUUUCACUGAUAUAUUUUAAAAGUGGAACUAUUUUCGGGAAUUAUGAAUAAGCUGAGCAUUUUAAAUUCCGAGUUACUUCUUUAUUUACUUGCCUUGCAUUGUUAUGAAGUACUAUUGGUUAUUGAGUUGGACCCGACCUAUGUUACAACCCAUCACUACUUUCAACCUAAGGUUAGGUUUGUUACUUACUGAGUACAUGGGGUCGAUUGUACUCGUACUAUACUUCUGCACUUUGCGUGCAGAUGUUGGCUGCUGAUGUUGUUGUUUUCGAUGUGAGCUGGAAUUGAAGAUGUACCUGCAUUCCGUUGUAGCUGCCUCUUGUUCAUCGUAGCCUUAGAUCUAUAAAACUCUGUUUAUGUACUUUUCAAACAGAUGAUGUAUUUACUUCCUUUCAGCUUAGUAAACAAUAUUCUUAGAAGCUCAUGAUUUGUACUACCAGUCCUUGGGAAAUGUAUAAGAUUCAGAUAAUUCCUUUUGUUUAAUUGUCUUGUUAAUAUUAUUGGAAUUGGAUAGUUAUUAGCCGGCUUACCUAGCAGGUUGGGUUAGGUGCCAUCACGACUAGUGGAUUUGGGGUCGUGACAUAUUGGUAUCAGAGCUCUAGGUUCAUAGGUUCUACAAGUCAUGAGCAAGUGUCCAGUAGAGUCUUGCGGAUCGGUAUGAUGACGUUCAUACCUAUCUUCAAGAGUACUAAACAUGGUUUCUAACAUGGAUCACAGCUCAGGUGCUCUAAUACGUAGAGUACAGUAAAAUGUUCAGAUAAGAUAGCUACACAGUUUCCGUGGAAUAGACUAAAUCACAUUCACUACGGUGCACGCCCACACGCCCGUCACGUAGUAUGCGCGUCACCUCAACAUCAAUCACAUGACAUGUAAUUCGGGGUUUCAUACCCUCAGCACCAAGUUUAGAAGUGUUACUUACCUCGAACAAGCCAAAUCCAAUAUUGAGCACUGCCAAACGAUGCUCCAAAAAUGCCGUCACGCGUGUACCGGCCUCCGAACGGCUCAAAACUAGCCAAAACCAACUCAAAUACAUCAAAUAUGCCAAAGGAAAUAAACCUAAUCGAUAAGGUCGAAGUUUUAAUCAAAAGCCCAAAAUCGACCAAAAGGUCCAACCCGGGCCCGCACCUUGGAACUCGACAAAAAUUAUAAAAUUCGGCAACCCAUUAAAUUACAAGUCCAACCCAUACUAGUUUCACUCAAAUCCGACUCCAAAUUGAUGUUCCAAACUCAAAAAUUCGCUUUAUGAAACUUUAGGCUAACCCCCACCCCUCCUCCCCCCUCCAUUUUUCUCAUUAAAAUUCAUCAACCAAUUGCCAAAAAUAAAGAUAGAUUCAUGAAAUGUAAUCAAAACCGAGUGUAGAACACUUACCCCAAUCCUUGUGAUGAAAAUUGCUCCAAACAUCGCUCCAUUCCGAAGUUCAUAGCUCCAUAUAUGAUAAAAAUGACCAACUCUCGAACUUAUAACAUUUUGCCCAGCGAUUCUCGCUUUUGCGAGUAAAGGGCCGCUUCUGCGACAAACGCUCCGCUUCUGCGGAGAAGCUCUGGAGAAUUGGACCUCGCACCUGCGGAAAACAUCCGCUCCUGCAACAUCGCAGUUGCGACAAAAGGACCCGUAUCUGCACCAAAGCCCGCUUCUGCGCUCAAAUCCCGCACCUGCGCGCACGCAAGUGCGCUACAAAAAUUCGCAUCUGCGGUGAUCCCUAGCCAAGCCUUCCUUCGCUUCUGCGACCGGUUGUUUGCAUCUGCGGACGCAUAUUUGCGUCCAUUCUUCCGCAAGUGCGCCUUCAGCAAUGCAAUAAGAAACGAAAAUGAUCUGAACCUUGUCCGAAACUUACCAGAGCCACUUAGGACCUUGUCCAAAUUACCGACAUGUCCCAUAACAUAACACGGACCUACUUGAGGCCUCAAAUCACACCUAGCAAUAUCGAAACGAUGAAUCACACCUCAAUUCGAACUUGAUGAACUUUGAACUUUUACACUUCUAAAACUCGUGCCGAAACAUAGCAAAUCAAUCGAGAAUGAACCCAAAUUUUGCACACAAUUCCCAAAUGACGUAACGAACCUAUUCCAACUCCCAAAAUCACAAUCCGAACCAGAUAUCCACAAGGUCAACUCUCGGUCAAACUUUUGAACUUUCCAAACCUUCAAAUUUCUAAUUUUUGCCAAUUUGUGCCGAAACCUUCUAGAAUCAUCCAAAUGCAAAUCUGGGUAAACGCCCGAGUCCAAAAUCAUCAUCCGGACCUAUCGGAACCAUCCGUUCAGGGGUCAAAUUCACAAAACGUCAAACGUGGUCAAUUUUUCCAACUUAAAGUUUCAAUAAUGAAAUUCAUUCUUCCAAAUCGAUUCCGAAUAACCUGAAUACCAAAAUCGACGAUUCACAUAAGUCACAAUACAUCAUAUGGAGCUACUCAUGCCCGUAAAUCACUGAGCGAAGUGCAAAUGCUCUAAACGAUUGGUCGGGUCGUUACACCUAACAUAUUAAAUUUUCCAAAAAUUACUUUUUUUUGUGGCCAAACAUGCUCUAAAACGAGUAUUAUAUAUUGAUGGGAACCACAGAUAGUGGCAUCAACUACUUGCUAAUAUUUUUAUGUGCUACAUGUUUUUGUAAGAAAUAUUAAAUUGCUGGUGGCUUGGCCGGUGAACAUUACAUAAUAAGAAUAUAAAAAGACCGUUGAGAAAUUAUAUUGGAUGUUCACACUUAUGUCUUCCAUUCUAUAUAUAUAUACAGGUUUAGUAAAGUUAAGAUGUCGUUGCACCUAUAUAUUCUCUCCAUUUACAUUAAUCUUGCUAAAUUGGAGUAGUAAAAAGUAAGAAAAAUGGCAGAUGUAGCACUGCAAUUUGUAGUGGAUACCCUGGUGCCGAUUAUAAUUGAAAAUUGGAAGCUAAUUGGUGGCACAAAAGAAGAUUCUGCACAUCUAUUGGGAGAGCUUAAUCGGUCAAAGGCCUUUCUACAGGAUGCUGCAAAAUACCGUGAGAGCAACAGCGAACAGUGGAAAUACUUUAUCAAAGAAGUUCAAGCAGGGGCGGCUCAACAGAUCUCGUGGCAUAAGGCGAAAUCAUAUUUAAAGGCCCUUACAAUUUUUUUCAAAAAAAAAAUAAGAAAAAGAGAACAAAAAAUAAAGUGGUGGACUAUCGAAUAUUGAGGUCCAGAACUCAAAAUAAAAACUUUGAUUUGGCUAUCAUCAUAAACAAAAAUAAAAUAAAUGUACAUAACAUAAUAGCUUACGUUUCGAGUAUUAACGGUGUAAAAAAUAUUUACUCCGUCUGAUCAAUUUAAAUGGUGAUUGUAGUUCAUUCUAUUAAGUAACACUUAUUGGUGAAUAUCUAAAAUAAAUUGUAAAUAACCUAAUAUAAUAUGUAAAGAAAAUCGGUGCAUGAAUGUUUUUGUGUUCAUGUAGUUUCAGAGAACAUUAUAAAAGAAAUUUAUUAUAGUGUCGAUAUAUAUAACUUAAAUCAUAUAUGUAAAAGAUAAAUUUAAAAUAGAAAAGUGAAGCAAAUAUACUAAUUAAUGAGGGAAGAAAAUUAUCAUAAUUUAUAAAUUUAUUGUAUAAAAUAACCUCAAUCAAGUAACAAAAAAUAUAAUGUAACACUUUUCUUUAUAUUAAUUAUUUAUAUAAAUUAUAUAGUAUAUAAUAAUAAUAAUAUUAAUAAUAAUAUAAAAUAUAUAUAUAUAUAUAUAUAUAUAUAUAUUUAAAUAAAUUUUGUGCCUCCAAAAUUUGGGGCUAACGCAAUCGCCUCACUGCCCAAAGCCUUACAGCCGCCCCUCAGUUCAAGUUAUGAUAUAUAAAGCUGAGGGUCUUAUUGAUAAGCUCCUGAUUAAGGGGAAGAGAGAAACAUAAUUGUGCAAAACUUGGAUACUAAAUAUGCCAAAAAAGUUUGGGAUCUUGCAAAUGAGAUUACCGACACCCUUGAACAGGUGAAGAAGAUUCGUGAACAAAAUCCAGAGGCUUUUCAGGCUAAGCCAAUGCUUGAUUAUCAGCCGGAUAUCGUUGCCCCCGGGCCACAGGUAUGUAUAAAAUUAUUAUUUCCAAUGGUCUCUACCUCGAUCACACAAUAUUCCACACUCCCGUGAUCUUACUUGUGGAAUCAUGUUGUUGUUGUUGAUCUCAAUAGUAGUUAUAUAUGAUUGUCAGCCUAUUUUACAUUUUCUUUAUAACUUUACUUUAAAUAUAUAUUUAAUGCACAUAGUAUUAAAAUUACUAUCAUAAAAAAAAUACAUUUUUGCUAUGUGAAAAGUUCUCAAUCUACCGUUAAUUAAUAGAAUCUUUGUAGACACACAAAAGUUAUACUCCCUCCGUUCCAGUUUAUGUGAACCUAUUUCCUUUUUGGUCCGUUCCAAAAAGAAUGAUCCCUUUCUAAAUUUAAAAACAAUUAACUUAAACUUAUAAUUUAACCCUUAAUGAGAAGUUUUUAUAACCACACAAAUAAUCUGGGCCUCUUUUUGACUUGUUUAAGACAACAAAUUCCAAAAGUCUUUAUUUUUUAUUAAACUCCGUGCCCAAUCAAACAUGUUCACAUAAAUUAGAACGGAGGGAGUAGCAUUUUUAAAACAAUAAAUUUGAAAAGUCUUCAUUUUUUUUCUCUUUCUUUAAAACUAAGAAAUUUAAGAUUGGAACAAGAAGAAAUUUGAUCGUCUUUAAUUAACAGGAUACUUUGUUGGAAGAAAAUGAAGUUGUCGGCUUCAACACAAUUUGGGUUUACAUAGGACCACAACAAUACAAACCAAAGAGGUCUUUCUUAGUAUACUGGAAGGAUUCACGAAACGCACGACAGAAUAUCAAAAUAUGGCUGUCAGGAGGUAAAUGUCUUAUUGUGUUGGACGAUUUGUGGGCGACAGACGUUGUGGAUUCUGUGAUGAAAGUUUUCCCGGAAAACAGCAAAGGCCAUCGAAUAAUGCUACCACUCAUGACCUACGUAUUGGUAGAUAUGCCAAUCCUGAACCUCACUCAUUGAAAUUUCUGAACGGACAAGGAAAGUUUCCAACUGUUGGAAAAAAGAGUUUUUGGCAGUAAUAUUCGAAAGUGUCCUGAAGAUUUAAUAGCACAUAGAGAAAGUAUUGCUAAACAAUGUAGUGGAUUGCCACUUGCUGUAGUGGUAAUUGCAGGAGCUCUAAAAGGACAUACAAGCGAAAGAGUGUGGCAAAUGGUUAAGGACAAUGUAGGAAAGCAUCUUAUAAAUAAGGAUGACCCUCAAAGCUGCUUGAAAUAUGUGGAAAUGAGUUAUGGUCAUCUGCCCGAAGAUAUGAAGGCGUGCUUCCUGUAUUGUGGCGCCUUUCCACAAGGCUUUGAAAUUCCUGCUUGGAAGUUGAUCCGCUUGUGGAUUUCCGAUGGACUGAUAAACUCCAACUUAGAUGGCAGACCCGAGGAUAUAGCGGAGAUUUACUUGAACGAACUUGUCAACAGGAAUUUAGUGAUUGUAAUGCAGAAAAGUUUUCAAUCCUAUGCCCAACCGUUGUAUAAUCCUUUUCAGUUGUUCUCUAACUUCAAUUACUUUUCUCUGCAUAUAUAGAUAUAGUGGCACUUGAGUACUUGUUUAGUCUUAUUCAUGUGAAUUCCAAAAAUAAUGGCACAUUUAUAUAUUUCCUUAAUAAAAUUGUUAUUAUAGUCACACAAAAGUUAUGACAUGUUUAAGGUCACAAGUUUCAAAAGUUUUAUACUCACAUAACUGUUAUCACAUAUUUAAGACCACGUAUUUCAGAAUACUCCCGUUCUUUCUUAAAUUGUGUGCUGAGUCAAACUACGACAAACUGAUUGAAACAAACGGAGUAAAUAACUAGAGACAAAUAGCCAGUUAUCCUAACUCCAAUUGAGGAUGAGAUAGUUAGUUGGGAUGAAUCAAAAGAGAAUGGAUGCAAAAUACAAAAAUUGUGUUUUUACUUGGCGAAAAUCCCAGGAAGGACGAUCUUUUAUUAUUAUUGCAACAAGAGGAAAAUAAAAAACGAAAGGCGAUAGCUAAGCAGGAUAAAAGCAGAAAAUAAAAAAAUUAGCCUCUUCUGCAAACUAAAUUCUAAAGUUUAAUUAAGCCAAUGAUGUCUAAAUGAUCUGGCAUGAAUAAGUAAAUAUACGAAAUCUUGUCAAUGGGAUCAAUUGAAUUAUAUUAAACUUCCCUUUCAACUUCUUAACUGUUCAAAUCGCAACUAAAUAUAAAGACAAACAAUGUCACUCAAAUGCAAAUUGCCGAAGGUGCACUUCAUCAUGUACUUUCAGUAUAAUGCAAAUAAACUGUUAUUGAGGUGAACCUAGGAAGCAAAAACAAAAAACCAAAACCUCGGCAGCUGCAAAUCUCAACUUUGCUUCAUCCAACUCCUUCUGUACUCCUCUAACAGGAAUCCAAAUAGACUGCAUAAAUAACAAUAUGUUGGUCUAACAAAAGAUAGAAGUCAUGUUAUAUUGCUAAAUUUAAAGAAGUUCAAAUUUAUCGUUUAUUGCUUCAUUUAUUGAUUAAUACACCGUGAGGAAGAGAGUAAAAGAACGAAAGGUGAUGCCUUGCCAUAUUUAUCGUUUCAUGGUGAGGUUGAGACUAAAAACACGAAGGGUGACGUCAUGGCAUUAUUAUUGUUUCAUUCUCAGGUUGAGAGUAAAAACACGAUGGGUGAUGUCGUGCCAUCUUUAUUCAUUAUGUUUAUCCGUUUUCAUUGGUUGAUGAUGUAUUUGCAUGUCUUAUGUAGUCAUUCAUGUUGUAGUUAUCGUAUCUUGUUACCCCUUUCGCAUGUCCCCUCCCAAUCCUACAUAUUAAAUCUUUAUUUGUUACUAUGUUGUACAUAUAUCUACGUUUGUACAGGUUAAAUUACGUGAGUGUCCUGUCAUAGCCUCGUCACUAACUCGUCGGGGUUAGGCUCGGCACUUACGGAGUACAUUGGGUCGGCUGUACUCAUACUAUACUCUGCACUUCUUUUGCAGAUUUUGGUACUGGUCCCAACUAUAUGUGAGAUGUAUCAGCUCGGAUUAUCACAUUUGGAGACUCGAGAUAGAUCUACUGGCGUUCGCAGACCUUAAAGUCCCCUUCCUCUUUCCCCAUUUACUGUUCAUUUCACUCGAAAUAGUUGUAUUUAUUUCAGACUCUGUUUGUAGAACUUCUAGACUUGUGACUCUAGUUCUAGGAUUGUACUUAGAUAUUUUUGGUUAUUUGACCUUUUCACAUAUCAUUAUAGUUUUAUUUGAGUUUAAAUGAGUUUUAAUUACUUGAAUUGUUUAAAAUGGCAUACAAUUUACUCUAACGUUGGCUUGCCUAGCGAGUGAAAUGUUAUGCGUCACCACAGUCCCGAAGGUGGGAAUUCCGGGUCGUGACAGAAAAUCUAUAUAUGUUUUGUAUAUAUAUACAUUAUAUAUGUUAUAUACAAAAAUUAUACAAAUUUUAUACACUUUUUUGGCUACUAAAUAUAAAUAGUUAAAAGUUAUAAUAUCCCUAUAUUGUGCUAACUAUUGUACCUGUAAUUUUGGCCUUUAUGGUUACUGUUGUGUCUAAGUUAAGCCUUUAGAUUAUACUCCUUCCGCUUCAAUUUAUAUGAACUUAUUUGAUUGGGCAUGAUGUUUAAGAAAACAAAAUUGAAUUUGUUGUGUAAAUGAGGCACAUAUAUUUUGUCUCACUAUAAAUUAUUAUAUAUAAAGGUAAAUUAUUUUCUAAAUAUGGAAACAUAUCAUUCUUUUUAGUACGGAUUAGAAAAGAAAUAGAUUUACGUAUGGAGGAGUUUAAGACCGUCCAAUUUCGAAUUUAGUCAAAUUUCAAUACCCGAUACUAAAUAUCGAGCGAAAACCCUUUUUAAAUAAAAAAGACUAGCCUCUAUUCAUUUUCCACUAGUUACAUUUUUAGCUUGUGUUUUGUUUUGUUUUUGUCCUUGCUGUUGCAACUUGAAAUAAAGUCUAGGUCGACAUAUCUUGUCUUGUAGUCUAUUAAUCUUGAGGUACUGUAUGUACUUUUAUUUGUUUAAUAAGCACAAAUUAAGUAAUAUUAAAGUGUCCAAUAAGUGCAAGCCUAUUAGUUGAAAUGUCAAAAGUUGGUAUCAAAUUUAGGGAGUUAUUUAUGCUCCCGUUUGGCCAGAUUUUGGUUACUAUUUUUUAAGUUUAAUUUUUUUUUUUCAAGAUUUAUGACAGUUUUUGAGUGAUAUUUUUCCAUUUAUUCACAAAAAUUUAAAUUUGUUUUUCAAAUAAAAUACAUGCACAAACACAAUUUUAAUUUUUAAAUAUUAUUUUCCAACAUAAUUUCAAAAACUCUUUUUCCAAGUGUUAAUUAAAUAUAUGUUUAACUAUGUAUUCAUUUGUGCUUAUGUUUUAUCAUGCAUUUUCAUAAGUGAAUUUCAUACUCAUCUUCAUGCAAACACUUAUACUAUAAAAGAUAUAUUAUUCCUAUAUACAACAUGUUUAUACGAGAUCAUUACAUUGUAAGUGUACCUUAUUAUUGGUAAAUUUUGGACUUCACCAAAAAUAAUUAAGGAAGUAAUGAUAUGCAAUAAAUAAAUAAAGUUAAAAAUAUUAUACUUGACUCAAGACACAUUAUGGGGAUCACGUUUCUUUCACGAUCCAUCUUAUCCUUUCAUCGAUAGAAGUUAGCAAUAGCAUUAUUCUCAUAUUAGCGGAAUUAUGGGUGUUUGUCUCCUUAUAUGGUCAUAGACUCUCGAGAUAAUUCAUAUUUCAAGACUAGCUAUUUUUUAGAGCUGAAUUAAGUUUAAAAUUCAUUUCUUCGUUCGAACGUGUGGGGGUAUUAAGCAGGGCUGAGGAAGAGCAUUAGUCGCGGGUUCGAACAAACUCAACUUAAAUCUUAUAUUUGUAUUAGAAAAUACAUAAAAUAUGUAUAAAUUUCUAAUUACGAACAUAGUAACUAAGAUAAACUAUGAGUUCCUAAUAAAUUAAAAAUUUAUAAACACCAAAUUUGUUGAGGGAUGGGUUGUUAUAUGGUCUUGGGCAAGAGUUGGAGUCACUCGGCCACCAAUUAUCUACAUUUGGCCCAUUGUUUCCCAUUAAAACAAUUCGCCCCAAGUUGAUCUAGUUAGUGUUCUCAUUUAUAAUCCAAGUUGAUACUAUUUGUCAUGUGGCUGGCUAUACGACAUUGUUUUUGUUUUUUUUUGGAAAAUUUCUAGGAAACCGUAGCCGCUACCAUUCGGGUGUGCAUUUGAUAUCUAACUCAAUGUGCAAUUGCUCGCAAAUCACACAGAAGAUAUAAAUCGCAUUAGGCACGCCCGGUACGACUAGCUCUGACUGGGGAGACUACUGGUGAGGGAAAUCGAUCUCAGAUCUCCCAUGUGAGAAACCACUCACCCAACUAACUCAAUCAACCCUGGCGGCGGCGUGACUUCACAGUAGAUCUUUGUGAAGGCUUUCUUUUUGUCAUUUUUCUCCUUUGUUUAGAACAAGUUGUUCUGACAGUUGGACGAGAAACUAUUAAGUUCUAUAAAUAGGGGAGAAACAUUGUUUUCCUUUUUACAGCAAAAUAUUGAAACUCCAAAUAGCUCAUCAAAAUGUUUUCCAAAACUAACCUUUUUCUUUGCCUUUCUUUGGCUAUUUUGCUAAUUGUAAUAUCCUCACAAGCUGAUGCAAGGGAGAUGUCUAAGGCGGCUGCUCCAAUUACCCAAGGUUUAUUUACUUCUUCAAUCUAUUACUACUCCAGUAGUUAUUUUCAUUUUUAACAUUUUGAGUCUGCGAACGGAUGUUAUAAAUGUUUAAAUAUUCAUGUAACAUUUGGCUUUGAAUUUUGUGAUAUUAAAUAUGUCAUAAUAUCUUAUAAAGAAAUCUCAUUAAUGAAAAAAUUAGAAUUUCGGAAUUAAAUAAUUAUUAAACGUUGGUAGCAUUCUUUGCUGGAGUGACUUAAAAGGAAAGCAAAACACAUGAUUGAAACGAAGGGAGUAAAUGUUUACAUAAGUAUUAUUUAACAUUUUGCUGAAAGUUUAAUGUCGUUUUGAAACUUUCUGAGACAUUCUACAUCUAUAAUAUUUAAUAAUCUAAGGAUAUCGCAACACCGUUUAUAAUAGUUUAAAUUCUAUUGCUAGAGCAAGGACACUUCAUUUGAAUUAGCGACCUGUCCUGCCAAAUGUGUGAUCAUUUUAUUUUAAAACUUAAGUUAUUAGAGGAGGAACCUACGUUCAUCCUAAUUUAUUUAUGUUUGCAGCACUGAGAAUUAAUAUGGUCACAAAUUAAUUUCCUCCUUUAUUGGUUAACCUAUAACUAAUACAUUACUCUACAUAACCUAAUUUGAUGCAGAAAUGAAUUCAAACAACAUUACUGAUCAGAUGACGGGUGCCGGAAUCAUCCGUAAGAUACCGUGUUGGUCACGAAAAGGUGCAAAACCAGGAUGCAAAAUCUUCGGCAAAAUCGCCGGCAAAGCUUGUAAAAUUUGCUCAUGUAAAUACCAGAUUUGCAGCAAAUGUCCUAAAUGUCAUGACCAAAAUAUCGCCGGCAAAGCUUGUAAAAUUUGCUCAUGUAAAUACCAGAUUUGCAGCAAAUGUCCUAAAUGUCAUGACCAAAAUUAGGCCUCAGAGACUAUGUACUUGUGCUGGUGUGAGUUUAGUUUUGAGAAUAAAGGGAAAGUUAUGAAUAGCCUAAUAUAAUUCUAUUCACUUUCCUCUAGUUAAUUUCUCUUAGUUUGUGUUUUGUUUUGUUAGUAGUUCCUAUUGUUGCAACUUGCAACAAGUCUUGGGUCAACAUGUACCUCUUGUCUUGUAGUCUUUCGACUGUAUGAUAUUGUACCGUAUUGUAUUGUAUUGUAUUUUUCUUUAGCCACUUGUUAUCUGAAAUCAAAUCCAAUUAAAUCUAAUUCGCGUUGCAUAGGUUCUACUAUAGUUAGACCUCUUU
rnacentral:lncRNA from 1 species